rnacentral:rRNA from 1 species
GACGAACGCUGGCGGCGUGCUUAACACAUGCAAGUCGAACGGACAGACAGAGAGCUUGCUCUCUUGAAGUUAGUGGCGAACGAGUGAGUAACGCGUAAUCAACCUGCCCUUCAGAGGGGGAUAACAACGGGAAACCGUUGCUAAUACCGCGUACGAUUCAUGAACGGCAUCGUUUAUGAAUGAAAGGUGGCCUCUAUGUAUAAGCUAUCGCUGAAGGAGGGGAUUGCGUCUGAUUAGCUAGUUGGAGGGGUAAAGGCCCACCAAGGCAAUGAUCAGUAGCCGGUCUGAGAGGAUGAACGGCCACAUUGGGACUGAGACACGGCCCAAACUCCCACGGGAGGCAGCAGUGGGGAAUCUUCCGCAAUGGACGAAAGUCUGACGGAGCAACGCCGCGUGAGUGAUGAAGGUCUUCGGAUUGUAAAGCUCUGUUAAUCGGGACGAAAGAGUUCUGCGUGAAUAAUGCAGAAAAGUGACGGUACCGGAAUAGAAAGCCACGGCUAACUACGUGCCAGCCGCCGCCGUAA